CUGCACCUGUUUGCUGUCAUUUGUUGCCUGCUGUGUUUGGGUGUUGGUUAUUGCUCUAGCAAGGUGACCUUCAUUAAUGGAACAAAACAAAGAGGAGGGAGGUCACUGUCGUCUUGGUACACAAAACAACAACAACCAUUGCUGGAGGCAGGAAGAGUCAAGGACGCCCUAACUGCAGCCACAGAGAAAGGGCAAGGAAACGCACCCAAACACAAACAAGCUCAACUCCCGUCGGCAAGACCCUGAAGCAGUGCUGCUCCAACCUAAAUCUGACUGCACUGAAUCACUUUCUGUGGCUGGUGUUGGCCUCUUGUGACAGGAGCAGCUGGUGGCGACCACCGUUUGGGAAUCACUGUUUUAAGGUUGUGUCAGCUAAUGUCUCUCACAUGUGCAGCU